rnacentral:rRNA from 1 species
GUCCCGCAACGAGCGCAACCCUUAUCCUUUGUUGCCAGCGAUUAGGUCGGGAACUCAAAGGAGACUGCCAGUGAUAAACUGGAGGAAGGUGGGGAUGACGUCAAGUCAUCAUGGCCCUUACGACCAGGGCUACACACGUGCUACAAUGGCGCAUACAAAGAGAAGCGACCUCGCGAGAGCAAGCGGACCUCAUAAAGUGCGUCGUAGUCCGGAUUGGAGUCUGCAACUCGACUCCAUGAAGUCGGAAUCGCUAGUAAUCGUGGAUCAGAAUGCCACGGUGAAUACGUUCCCGGGCCUUGUACACACCGCCCGUCACACCAUGGGAGUGGGUUGCAAAAGAAGUAGGUAGCUUAACCUUCGGGAGGGCGCUUACCACUUUGUGAUUCAUGACUGGGGUGAAGUCGUAACAAGGUAACCGUAGGGGAACCUGC